rnacentral:rRNA from 1 species
AGAGUUUGAUCCUGGCUCAGAUUGAACGCUGGCGGCAGGCCUAACACAUGCAAGUCGAGCGGAUGACGGGAGCUUGCUCCUCGAUUCAGCGGCGGACGGGUGAGUAAUGCCUAGGAAUCUGCCUGGUAGUGGGGGACAACGUUUCGAAAGGAACGCUAAUACCGCAUACGUCCUACGGGAGAAAGCAGGGGACCUUCGGGCCUUGCGCUAUCAGAUGAGCCUAGGUCGGAUUAGCUAGUUGGUGGGGUAAUGGCUCACCAAGGCGACGAUCCGUAACUGGUCUGAGAGGAUGAUCAGUCACACUGGAACUGAGACACGGUCCAGACUCCUACGGGAGGCAGCAGUGGGGAAUAUUGGACAAUGGGCGAAAGCCUGAUCCAGCCAUGCCGCGUGUGUGAAGAAGGUCUUCGGAUUGUAAAGCACUUUAAGUUGGGAGGAAGGGCAGUAAGCUAAUACCUUGCUGUUUUGACGUUACCGACAGAAUAAGCACCGGCUAACUCUGUGCCAGCAGCCGCGGUAAUACAGAGGGUGCAAGCGUUAAUCGGAAUUACUGGGCGUAAAGCGCGCGUAGGUGGUUCGUUAAGUUGGAUGUGAAAGCCCCGGGCUCAACCUGGGAACUGCAUCCAAAACUGGCGAGCUAGAGUACGGUAGAGGGUGGUGGAAUUUCCUGUGUAGCGGUGAAAUGCGUAGAUAUAGGAAGGAACACCAGUGGCGAAGGCGACCACCUGGACUGAUACUGACACUGAGGUGCGAAAGCGUGNGGAGCAAACAGGAUUAGAUACCCUGGUAGUCCACGCCGUAAACGA